rnacentral:rRNA from 1 species
GACAGAGGGUGCAAACGUUGUUCGGAAUUACUGGGCGUAAAGCGAGUGUAGGCGGUCCGAUAAGUCGGGUGUGAAAGCCCUGGGCUCAACCCAGGAAGUGCACUCGAAACUGACGGGCUAGAGUACUGGAGAGGUUGGUGGAAUUCUCGGUGUAGAGGUGAAAUUCGUAGAUAUUGGGAAGAACACCGGUGGCGAAGGCGGCAACCUGGUCCUUGACUGACGCUGAGGCGCGAAAGCGUGGGGAGCAAACAGG